rnacentral:rRNA from 1 species
AGUGAACGCUGGCGGUAGGCCUAACACAUGCCAGUCGAACGGCAGCACAGUAAGAGCUUGCUCUUACGGGUGGCGAGUGGCGGACGGGUGAGGAAUACAUCGGAAUCUACUUUUUCGUGGGGGAUGACGUAGGGAAACUUACGCUAAUACCGCAUACGACCUACAGGUGAAAGCAGGGGAUCUUCGGACCUUGCGCGAUUGAAUGAGCCGAUGUCGGAUUAGCUAGUUGGCGGGGUAAAGGCCCACCAAGGCGACGAUCCGUAGCUGGUCUGAGAGGAUGAUCAGCCACACUGGAACUGAGACACGGUCCAGACUCCUACGGGAGGCAGCAGUGGGGAAUAUUGGACAAUGGGCGCAAGCCUGGUCCAGCCAUACCGCGUGGGUGAAGAAGGCCUUCGGGUUGUAAAGCCCUUUUGUUGGGAAAGAAAAGCAGCAGGUUAAUACCCCGCUGUUCUGACGGUACCCAAAGAAUAAGCACCGGCUAACUUCGUG